rnacentral:rRNA from 1 species
AGAGCGAACGCUGGCGGCAGGCUUAACACAUGCAAGUCGAGCGCCCCGCAAGGGGAGCGGCAGACGGGUGAGUAACGCGUGGGAACAUACCCUCCGGUUCGGAAUAGCUCAGGGAAACUUGGAUUAAUACCGGAUACGGCCUAGCGGCGAAAGAUUCAUCGCCGGAGGAUUGGCCCGCGUCUGAUUAGCUAGUUGGUGGGGUAAUGGCCCACCAAGGCGACGAUCAGUAGCUGGUCUGAGAGGAUGAUCAGCCACAUUGGGACUGAGACACGGCCCAAACUCCUACGGGAGGCAGCAGUGGGGAAUAUUGGACAAUGGGCGCAAGCCUGAUCCAGCCAUGCCGCGUGAGUGAUGACGGCCUUAGGGUUGUAAAGCUCUUUCGCUAGGGACGAUAAUGACGGUACCUAGACAAGAAGCCCCGGCUAACUUCGUGCCAGCAGCCGC